rnacentral:tRNA from 1 species
GUUCUUGUAGUUGAAUGACAACGAUGGUUUUUCAUAUCAUU